rnacentral:rRNA from 1 species
AGAGCGAACGCUGGCGGCAGGCCUAACACAUGCAAGUCGAGCGCCCCGCAAGGGGAGCGGCAGACGGGAGAGUAACACGUGGGAACGUACCCUUUGGUUCGGAACAACACAGGGAAACUUGUGCUAAUACCGGAUAAGCCCUUACGGGGAAAGAUUUAUUGCCAAAGGAUCGGCCCGCGUCUGAUUAGCUUGUUGGUGAGGUAACGGCUCACCAAGGCUACGAUCAGUAGCUGGUCUGAGAGGAUGAUCAGCCUCACUGGGACUGAGACACGGCCCAGACUCCUACGGGAGGCAGCAGUGGGGAAUAUUGGACAAUGGGCGUAAGCCUGAUCCAGCCAUGCCGCGUGGAUGAUGAAGGCCCUAGGGUUGUAAAGUCCUUUCGACGGGGAAGAUAAUGACGGUACCCGUAGAAGAAGCCCCGGCUAACUUCGUGCCAGCAGCCGC